GGACUACCAGGGUAUCUAAUCCCGUUCGCUCCCCUGGCUUUCGUGUUUGAGCGUCAGGAACGCGCCAGUGCACUGCCUUCGCCUUUGGUGUUCCCCAUGAUAUCAACGGAUUUCACCCCUCCACCAUGAGUUCCAUGCACCUCUCGCGCCCUCGAGCCUUCCCGUUUCUCUUGCGGACUGUAGGUUGAGCCCACGGAUUUUACAAAAGACUAAGAAGGCCGCCUAGACACCCUUUACGCCCAGUGAUUCCGGAUAAUGCUUGGGGCCUCUGUAUUACCGCGGCUGCUGGCAC
rnacentral:rRNA from 1 species